UAAGAAAGAAAGAAAAGAAAAUCUUUGAACUCUACAAAGAAAAAUGGAUGAGGUUUUGUUGUUGAAAGAAGAGACAGAAGGGAAGAGAGAGAGAGUGAGAUGGGGUGUAUUGAUAGGUGAGGAGAUGAAGAGACUGGGGUAUUUAGCAGGACCUAUGGUAGCAGUGACUCUUUCACAGUAUUUGCUUCAAGUAAUAUCAGUAAUGAUGGUUGGUCAUUUGGGUGAGCUCUCUCUUUCCAGCACCGCCAUAGCCAUAUCUCUCUGUGGUGUCACUGGUUUCAGCUUUCUUGUAAGUUGUACACAUAACUGUGUCAUGCUUUGCUUUGUUAAUGUUGAAUUCUGUGAUUUCUUGUUUAUAUUUGCCUGUAUUAAUCACGUAUCGGUAGAUACUUAGGUUCAAAGGAGAAGUUUUGGAUAUUUGAUUGGAUAGGAUCACAGAUUGGAGACGUACAUGUCAUAAAAUUUGUCACUUGUCUUGCUGAGUCGUUGGAAUGCUAAACUUAAGCAUGAAAGCAACUUUUAAGAUUGGACAGUGUAAAUUUUUAGUACCUUUUUACUUUUUUUACUUAUUUUGUAGCCAAACGUCCUAUAAAUACGUAUGAGAGGUGCUGCUGCUGCCCGCAACUCUCAACUGCUAACUUAGAUUUUCUUUGGGAUGCGACCUGAUAAAAACGCUGUAACAAAGUAAAAUUUAUGACAAUAAGAUCCGUUUGAUUGUAAAGAUGGAAUUUGGGUGAAAAGAAAACGAAUUCUUUUUAUUGCAAAAAUGAAAUUUGGGUGGAAAAAAAAUAAAUUUCAGAGAAUUAAAUUCUCUAGAAAUUAUUUUAUUGGGAAUUGUUAAUUAAUAGUAUUUGAUUGAUAUAAUUUUUCACUUGAAAAUGUUGAAAUAAAAUGUCUUUUGAUGUUCGUUUGACUUUUUUUUUUUAAUGAAAAUUGUCAAUUUAAGGGAUAUUUACUUCUACAAUUAUUUUUAAAAUUUGUUUUUAUUGCAAAAAAAAAAAUUCCAAAAAAUCAUAUAACUUUUGAUAUUCGUUUGAUUUUAUUUUACAUGAAAAUUGUCUAUCUAAGGAAUAUUCUUUUUUAUAAUUGUUCAUAAAAUUUGUCAAAAAAAAAAAAACGUGGAUUUUGUUGGGAAUUGCUUUUCCUCAAAAAGCUAAAAAAAUCUGAUGUGACAAGGAUUUGGGAAAAAUCAUUUCCAUGAAAAAAUUCUGCCAUCAAAUAAGCUAAAAAGUGGAAAAUGGAAUCCAAUUUUCAUUUUCCAUGGAAAAGAGUUGCCUAUCAAACAAAUGUGCAAGACUGAUGAUUAGACCAGAAAACUGUCUGACACGAGUCCAAAAAUGAUUCUUUUGCUUAUUAAAAUCAAAUAUAUAAUCAACAGGAAAAUAUGAACAGCAUCUUUGUCACGUGUGAUUGUGCAUAUUUUACACAUCUGCCGAGAAUGUCCAUCUCAUUAUGUUACAUUAGACUGACUAGAUUUCACAUCAAAUUUUUCUUGUAAAACUCUAGAGCUACAUCAAAUUUUGCAUUAUUUUACAUCAAAUUUUGCAUCAAACUAAAUCAAAUGAACAAUGUUUAACCAUUUUUUUUCAUUUUUUAUUCUUUAUAAUUUAUUUAUUUGAAAUAUUAUUUAUUUAAUUAUUUUCUAAAUACAUAAAUUAGUAAAUAAAUAAUUAGGUUAAAUUAAGGAAAAGAUUAAAUUCAUUAAUAUAUUUCGUUUUGUUUAAAUAAAAUUAGAUUAUCGUAUUAUGUCGUUGUUUAAUAUAUUUCGUGUUAAUUUUAAUAAAUAAUCGUGUUCGUUAUAUUUUAAAUUUUUUUCUUCUUUUAAUUAGUUUGUUAAAUAUUAUUUCUUACAUUUAAAAUUUAUUUUAUGCUAAUAAUAAUAAUAAUAAUAAUUUAUUGUAUUAAAAAAAUAUAUAGCACAACUGACACAAAUACCUUUAACAAAUUUAUUUGAGAAAUGAUAAAAAUGAGCAAAAGACACUUUGCACCAUUUUCCACCAAAAUGGUGCAAAGUAUAGUGUUGCAUUGAAGCAAUUUUGUAUCAAAAAAUGGUGCAAUUUGGUGAUUUGGUGUAACCACUGGAGUUGCCCUUAGACCUCUCAAAAAAUUUGAUAUUGUUUUAUAUUAUUGAUGUACAGUAGUGUCAUCUCGUGUCUUGUAAGAUGGACUUUAGUGCAUUGACUGACCUUCAUUUUCGUACUUGUACAUUGCUGUUUGGGUUCAAUGUCAGUAAUACCAUUACAGUUCUUGAAGUUCAUUGCACCAGUAAAUCACGGACCUUUGUGAUUAUGUACAUACACCUGAUUUAGUAUAAGAAUGUUGUUUAUUCUAUUAUUAAACAUUGGAUUAUUGUGCAAUUUCCGAAAAUCGCAGGGGAAUAAAAAGUCUAGAAUCUUAAGAACACUUUUGUAAUGAAAAGAAAUAGAUCCAUAGUUAAAAAUUAAACAUUUAUCUGACUUGAUCUCUCUGGGUGUGAAACAGUUAGGUAUGGCAAGUGCUCUGGAAACUCUAAGUGGACAAGCAUAUGGUGCUCAACAAUAUAAAAGAAUCGGAACUCAAACUUACACCGCCAUUUUUUCACUGAUUAUUAUUUGCAUUCCUCUCUCGGUCUUGUGGAUAUUCUUGGGAAAGGUACUCGUUUUUGUAGACCAAGAUCCUCAGAUUUCGUAUGAAGCUGGAAAAUAUACAAUGUGGCUUGUUCCUGCCCUUUUCGGCUAUGCUACGCUUCAACCACUCAUUCGGUAUUUUCAAAUACAAAGUAUGAUCCUUCCCAUGCUCAUAAGCUCAUGCCUCACAAUCUGUUUCCACAUAGCUGUCUGCUGGGUUCUUGUAUUUAAUUUCGGAUUAAAGAUUAUUGGAGCUGCUGUAGCCAUGGACCUUUCGAUGUGGUUAAAUGUUACCAUUCUCGGUUUGUACAUGAAGUUCUCUUCCAAAUGUGAGAAAACUCGUGCCCCCAUUUCCAUGGAGAUAUUCACAGGAAUGAAAGAGUUUUUCCGCUUUGCCAUUCCUUCUGCUGUAAUGAUUUGGUAACACUCACUUCCUGUCUCCCUCUCUGUUCACUCGUGCUUUCUACACACACGCAGGCACCAAGUUUCUCGUUAUGAUUCCUAACAAUUUAAUGCAUUUUACAUUUGAUGAUGCUAGUCUUGAAUGGUGGUCAUUUGAGCUACUUAUCUUGCUAUCAGGGCUUUUACCUAAUCCACAGCUUGAAACCUCAGUGCUAUCCGUGUGGUAUGUUCUUCGCAAACCUCAACGAUGAUAGAAUAAAAGGGUUAAAUGCACUUGUCAUCAUUAAACUCUAGUGAAAUUUCCUGUUCGCCAUUAAUGUAAACUUGGUUUUGGCUACUGAACUUGUACAUUUGAUAUAAUUUGAUCACCCCUUCCAUAUCCAUUAUGUUGACCUACGGAAAAGGUGACACAACAGUUACUUAUUUGUCAACUAGGCUAUCAACUAGACGACCGUGUAAUUUUUUUAGUUAGUUAAACUAAUGGGCAUGGAAUGACCAAAUUGUUACAAACGUCCAAGUUCAGUAACUAAUUUGAAACAAAGUUUACGCUCAAUGAUCAACUUGGCACAAAAUGAGUUUAGAGACCUGAUUCUAAUUGCCUUGUUAUGAACAGCCUCAACACCCUCUCUACACUAUAUGCAAUACCAUAUGGAUUAGCUGCUGCUGCAAGGUGCCUUCUGCAUCUGAUAUGUAUGCUUAAUUUGCUUGGAAUGGUACUUGUAAUUCUAAAAAUUGCAUUGAUCUAAAUAUUCAGCACAAGAAUUUCGAAUGAGUUAGGGGCCGGAAAUCCACAGGGAGCUCGUGUAUCCACUAUUUCUCUGAUGCUUAUUGCAACUGUAGAAGCAAUAACAGUGAGCACAAUCAUCUUUGUUAGCCGGCACGUUUUUGGCUACAUUUUCAGCAAUGAGGAGGAAGUUGUGGACUAUGUCACAAAUAUGGCUCCUCUUCUUUGUCUAUCUACUAUAAUGGACAGCAUUCAAGGGACCCUUGCAGGUUAUUUAUUUUAACAAUCAUGUCUAUCAUAUAAAAUUUAAUCGUAAUUCUAGUAACUUGGGGCAUCUUUUUUCAUUUUUGGUUUUCAGGUGUCACAAGGGGUUGUGGCUGGCAGCACAUAGGAGCUUAUAUCAAUCUUGCUGCAUUUUACCUUUUCGGAAUUCCAAUUGCUGCAGCACUGGGUUUCUGGUUGAAUUUGAGAGGAAAAGGUCUUUGGAUCGGAGUACUCUCCGGCGCUACUUUACAAACGAUUAUGCUUGCCACAGUAACAAGUUUUACGAACUGGGAAAACCAGGUUGUGCAUUCCUUUCCUUUAUCCGCUUUUCGCUUUGAUCAUGAGACAGAUAUUACUUCUGCUACAAAAUUUCGAUUUCUCUCUUUUUGUAAAUGAAAAUCUUGUUAUGCUUCCAUUCUUCAGGCAGCUAAGGCUAGGGAGAGGUUAAUUACGGAGAAAUCUUCAGCUGAGGCGGCAUUUGUUUUAAGAGAAUAAGAGAAGAUUACGAAGGAGUCGCCUCUCCUUAUCUUCAUGCCUCCUUUAUGUAACAUCCAUUGGACUACAAAAUUCAUCGAUAGAGAUGACGUUCAUGAGGUCUAUAUGAUAUAGUGCAAGAAUUCGUCGAUAAAUAGGGCAGUGACAUGUUAAUAUUGGAGAAAGGAAAAACUAAUCGCCAAAGUACUACUAAGGUGAGUAAUGUUCAUAUUUCUAUGAAAACUAUUUCGGUUUGAAUAAAGGUUAGAAGCCUAUUUCACUUGACAUUUUCCUUGUAGCAUAUGCUUCUUCCAACACCUUGCUAUUUGAGUAUAAAGCCCGGUUGAGAAGAUUAUGUUAGACUUGGCCGCUACUCACUAGUGUCAUUAAACGUAAAUUUUAUGUUCAGAUGCAUGUUGUAACUCGCCGGUACGAAUGCACUUGUUACUGUUGUAAAAAUGCUG
rnacentral:lncRNA from 1 species